rnacentral:tRNA from 1 species
GGGAGUGUAGCUCAGUGGUAGAGCACUUGCCUAACAUGUGCAAGGCUCUGGGUUCCAUUCCCAGUACCAUCA